CAGUACUGCUAUGGUGCCUAUCUCCAACUUCACUACUGUACCUCUACCUGUACUCCACUCAUCAUACUCCUACUUUAACAGGAGAUUCUCAGAGUGGCCCAAAAAUCUGUAGCCUAGAUUUUCUACAGGUACUGCGAGGACAACCAGAAUCCAAGCCGUUUGAUACGAUGAUGAAUGGAAUGAAGUGAUGGAUGGAAUGGAACCCUGCUCUUGCGUCUUCCUCCCCACCCCCCACAGACACAAGGCCCAUUGUUGCACAGUCACACCAUUGUGUGCUUGCUGCAUGCUCCAGGAGGCUUGCAGAACCCCGAGCUUGUGCUGCUCAAGGGAUACCAUUACCAUCUCCCAAAAUAUGCACAGCACACUGCACCGCACCCAAUUGUAAGACCAGCAGAAACUGACACGGGCACACGGCCCCGUUUGUUUGGUGCCUGCAUUUCCUCACCGCUAGCUCUACCUCCCCAACGGUUUUUCUCACAUGUCGAAAAAAACCGUACAGAAACAAAUCCUGCUCACCCUGUAAUUCCUGUCUCUGCAUUCUGCAUUGAAUUGCCUGACCAGAAUAAUUCUAGAAAAUGAAGGCAUGGGCCUUGUUUAGUUCCGAAGAGUGAAAAGGUUUCGGUACUGUAGCACUUUCGUUUGUUUGUGACAAAUAUUAUCCAAUCAUGGACUAACUAUAAUCAAAAGAUUCGUCUCGUGAUUUACAGCUAAACUGUGUAAUUAGUUUUUAUUUUCGUCUAUAUUUAAUGUUUCAUGCAUGUGCCACAAGAUUCGAUGUGACGGGAAAUCUUGAAAACUUUUUUGUUUUCAGAGUGAACUAAACAAGGCCAUGGUAAAAAAAAAAAAAAAAGACACCCUUGGCAGUUUCUUCUGCUCCUGUGUCCUGUGUCCACAUGAACACACACCGGUCUGCGUGGAGGAGAACGCAUUGCGAGGGGAGCAGCCAGCCAACUGCUUCAGCAGACGCCCCUUCCCCAAUCCCGGAACAGGCCGGAGACGUGCAGGUGCAGGGAAACCGGCGCAGGCAGCAAAGCCAAAAGUGCAGCACCAAUGCAUGCUUGCUGCAAGAGCUUCCGGUGCUGUUCCUCCAUGUUUCCUGUGCUGUUCCUCCAUUGCAUUGGGUCUUGGACUCCUGGGAACGCAUGCCAUAGCUCCGCCUCUGCUCGC
rnacentral:lncRNA from 1 species